rnacentral:lncRNA from 1 species
UUGUUAAAUCUCAAAUGCAUGUUAUCAUAAGGCAUUAUCAUAUACCUUGUUUUACAAUGGGAAAAAUUCGAACUUGUAUAAAAGUAACAUCAAAGUUUGCUAACUAGUUUAGAAUUUCUACUCAACACUGAUUCCAUUGUCUAGGGAUUUCUUACUGUACUUAAGAUCUCAAAUUUAUAUUCUGAGUAUGGGUCACUUAAUGUGAAAGAUUAGAAAAAUUAUAAUAUACGAUUAAGUUAAAUGAUUGUAUCAUUAUAAUUAUUUUCAUUGUAUCUCUAAUCAACAGAGUUUGUGCUUUAAAAAUCACUAAUCAAGUUAAAAAUAUGAGGCAAAGGAUUUAUCAAAAUUAUUGACUUUGUUCACAAUUGCAUAAAUGAUAUUUGUGGGACAUUUUAAUAAAUAUAAAGCCAGUUAUAAAAUAUUAGUACACUUU